rnacentral:tRNA from 1 species
AAUCUUAUUAAAAAAUUUAAAUUGCAAAUUUAAAAAAGAUAACUUAUCUAAGAUUU